AGUUUGCAUUUUCACUCUUAAGUUGCUUCAGAAGAACGUGAAUGACCUUGAGAUGGAUGCCACAGUGGGGAGAGCUGUUUAUACAGCAGUAUUGAUCUAGAUCUUCAGUGACCUCAACCUUCCAUUGGACAGGCUGCCAUCAUUCUGCCA